rnacentral:lncRNA from 1 species
CGUCUCCCUCCUACUAAAUGCUGAAUCUCACGAGAGAAGAAAACCAGCCACAUAAAGGAUUUGAAAGCUCAACUUGCUUUCCCACUCUGUUAUCCCUGGAGUUGGCUUGGAUUCACCCUGAAGCCUUCCCCCUCCCGGGGAAAGUUGCUUCACGUUGCAGCUCAGCAGGUUUGUCCAGCUACAUAGGCUCCAGAAAACAAGAAGCAAGACUGGAAAGCUGGGGAUGAUUGUACGCCCUCGCCUGAAUCUUACGUGGUUCCUCCUUCUUCCACCUGGCCAGUGCAGAGCCGUGGGUGCCACGUGGCCACUUCUGGAUUGGGUUCCCCUUGGCCUGCCACCCUGUCCUUCUGCUUUCCCACUUUGCCAGCCAGAGUCAAUUUGAGGACGCCAAGUUCUCCUCUCCAUACAGAGCUCCUGGUCUCCUUGUAACUUGUAACUCCUGGGCACAGUUACAAGUGCUGAAUUCUUGCGAGGAUGAACUCAAGAUACAAAAUAUGCUUGGCAACUCACCCCUGAGUGGCCACAGGCACACGCAGGAGUCGAACCCACCCACCUCUGCUGACAGUCAUGGGUCAAGCUCAAAGUCCUGGCUGCUUCUCUGCUCAAGAUAGUGUCUCACUAUGUUGCCCAGGUUGGAUUCGAACUCCUGUGCUCAAAUGAUCUUCCCCUACCUCCAGGGUAAGUGCUGGGGCCUCUGCCCUCCCAGACAACCUGAUGAUACCUCUGUCUCUUAGCAGCUCUGACCCUGCAUGCAGUUUUCCCUUAUGGUUUUGCUGGAGAAGGGCUUUUGCUAAGCCUCACUGGGAUGUGGUGAGGGCUAAUUAGAUAAUGCCUGUGAAGCCCUUGGAGCUCCUUGGAGAUGGGCUCUCUCUCUAUGUAUUAUUAAUAGUGGUAGAACACAGUGUUUCCAAACUGAGGACCGUGUGGGGAAGGAAGGGCAGUAAAGGGCUGCAGAGGAGACGGUGCCAAAGGAGCCCGUUUUUGGAGAAGGCUGUCAGCCUUCAGCCUUGUCAUGUGAUCUGGGGGGCUGGGGUAAAGGACAGGGACCGCCAUUAAGAAGUAGAAACGUGGGUGUCCCCUCCACAGACAGUACGUGCAUGAACAACAUGAGUGGGCAAAGGACGGUUCCUGUUAAACCUGUCUGUGGCCCUGAUGUGGGAGCCGAGGAGAGACAUCAGUUAGGCUGAGUCCCAGCUGGACUGUGCCCUCCCAGGCUUUUUCCAAUCUGGGAACUGUGCUGGCUUUUAGGACCACUUCCUGGCCUGGCCAGCAUUACCCCCAAGAGAGCUCUCUGCUAACUAGCCAGCUUUUGUUUUCUAAGGGAGGAGGGCAAAUGACCACCCUGACUAACCCUCUCCGCCUGUGUGAAGGUUGUUUGGGAAGUGCCUCAUGCAAAUUUCAGUAUCAAAUGGCCAAGUCAUUAGAGGACUAAUUUGGGGGUGUCUAAUCCUGUGGGAACAGUUGGGUCUCUCCUCCCACUGUUUCCUGUCACUGGAGGAUGUAGCUGGUAGACCUGGCACCUCUGUCCCUGUUGACUGCCCUGUAUCUUCUUGGGUGGGUGGGUGGCUGUCCCUCAAAAGAUAUGUUGAAGUCUGUUAUGAACCAAAUGUUUGCGUCCCCCCAAAAUUCCCACAUUGAAGCCUUAACCCCCAGCGUGUUGUAAUUUGGAGGUGGGGCCUUUGGGAGAUAAUUAGGCUUAGAUGAGGUCAUAAGGGUGCGGCCCUCAUGCCGGGAGCAGUGCCCUUGUUUUUGUUUUGUUUUGAGAUGGAGUUUCACUCUGUCACCCAGGCUGGAGUGCAGUGGUGCGAUCUUGGCUCAUUGUAACCUUCUCCUCCCGGGUCCAAGCGAUUCUCCUGCCUCAGCCUCCCGAGUAGCUGGGAUUACAGGCGCCCGCCACCACACCCAGCUAAUUUUUGCACUUUUAGUAGAGAUGGGAUUUCCCCAUGUUGGCCAGGCUGGUCUUGAACUCCUGACCUCGAGUAAUCCUUCCACCUCAGCCUCCCAAAGUGCUGGGAUUACAGGCGUGAGCCACUGAGCCUGGCCAGAGCAGUGCUCUUGUAAGAAGAGACGUCUGAGCAUUCUUUCUCAUGCUCUCUUGCUCUCUCUGAAAUUGACCCUGCUGACACCUUGAUCUUAGGCUUCCCAGCCUCCAGAACUGUGAGAAAACAAACUUCUGUUGUUUAAACCACCUGGCCUAUGGUAUUUUGUUAUGGCAGCCUGAGCAGACUAAGACAUAGUCUUGACCCCCAGUAACUCAGAAUGUGACCUUAUUUGGAAAUAGGGUUGUUGCAGUAGUAAUCAGGUAAGAUGAAGUCAUACUAAUGUGGAUGGGUCCCCUAGUCCAAAGCAUCUGGUGUCCUUAUAAGAAGAGACAUGGGAAGGGAUGGGCACAGAGGGAAGACAAUGUGAAAACACACAAGGAGAAGGCCGUGUGACAACAGAGACAGAGCUGGGAGCCACGUGUCACAAGCCAGGCACGGUGAAGGAUGGCCAGCAACACCAGGGGGCAAGGGAAAGGCAUGGAGCAGGGGUCCCCAAGCCCUGGUCCAUGGCCUAUUAGGAACUGGGCCACACAGCAGGAGGUGAGCGGCGGGCGGUGGAGCGAAGCUUCAUCUGUAUUUACAGCUGCUCCCCAUGGCCCAUGUUACCGCCUGAGCUCUACCUCCUGUCAGAUCAGUGGCAGCACUGGGUACUCUAUGAGUGUGAACCCUAUUGUGAACGGUGCAUGUGAGGGAUCUAGGUUGCGUGUUCCUUAUGAGAAUCUAAUGCCUGAUGACCUGUCACUGUCUCUCACCCCCACCAGAUGGGACCAUCUAGUUGCAGGAAAACAAGCUCAGGGCUCCCACUGAUUCUACAUUAUGAUGAGUCAUAUAAUUAUUUCAUUAUAUAUUAUAUUACAACGUAAUAAUAAUAGAAAUAACGUGCACAAUAAAUGUAAUGUGCUUCAAUCCUCCUGAAACGACCCCCACCCUCCAUCUGUGGAAAAAUUAUCUCCCACAAAACUGGUCGCUGGUGCCAAAAAGGUUGGGGACCGCCGGCUUAGAGCCUUCAGAACGCGAGGAGCCCUGCCGACACCUUGAUUUCCGACUUCUUAUUUUCAGAACUGUGAUAGAAUGAUUUCCUAUAGCUUUAAAGCACCCAGUUUUGGUACUUUGUUACAGCAGCCCUAGGAAGCUGGCACUCCAGGGUCUGAGGUUUUUCCAUUGCCCUUUCGAUCAGCCCGCAAACACCUCCAUUGAUGUAGAAAGCCAGCCAAGCCGUGUAGGCCUCAGCUCUCUUUGUUUCCCUGUUUCGGGAAGUCUGUGCACUUGGGCUCCCAGGUUCUCCCAUUGAAGCCAGGCCUUCUGCUGCCAAGUUCUCAGACAAAAAUGUUCAAAGGCACAAAAGAGCUUAGAAACCCGGCGGCUCCAGAGCUGUAGGAAAGCACAGCCGUCUUCCUGUUUCGGGAAAGGAUAAGUGUUUCUGAAUAUCAAAAAUCACAAGUCGUUAUUUUCCCUCGUAUAUCAUCACGUGACAUUUUAUUAUGGGACACCCAAACUCAUCACAGGUUAGUCCCAUAAAUUAGCAUGGGGACACGGGCAGGUUUGGUACGAAUUAGUGAAAAUCCCAACACACUGGAUGACCUGGCAGGCUCCGGCAUGGAAACAUCUUUGCUGUGCCUGUCAGCCACCCUCAGGCCUUGAAGGGUGGACAUUAGAAAGCCACUACUGUCCCCCUGCCCCCGUCCCCCAAUAAUUCCAAAUCACAGGGCCUAAAAUAGGUAUCUUUUAGGCACAUAAACCUCAGCUUCUGUUUGUCAUGUGUAUGAACAAACCCAAUAAAAUAUAUCAUGUUACCAAAGCCAGUUGUACCAUGUUAUUUAAACUAGUAAUUAAGAGUCUUAAAGCUGGCUUUUCUACAGUCACUGAACCAUCAGCAUCCCCUGGCUGGUUCUAGGCAGAGAAAGCACAGUGGGGAAAUUUGGACCACAGAUACCUGGCAUUUAUCUUAGGUUAGAUCAUCUUUCAGAAUAAGCAGAAACCUUCAGCAACCUCAAGUCUAGACUCAGCCUCUAGAAGGCCUGCUCAAAAUAGCGCCUGAGGCUUUGCCUGUGGGGAAUGCCCUCCCCAACUGGCAUCUUCCCAUUGCUGGGAGGGGUUGGUACCAUUAACCCAGGAAAUAAAGCUUUCUUUGUCAGCGAGCUGCCCAGUUGACUCAGACCAACCAAGGGUUUCUGCUUCCCCGUGUAUUUACAUUGAAAAAAGAUACAGAGGCUGGGUGUGGUGGCUCAUGCCUGUAAUCCUAGCACUUUGGGAGGCCGAGGUGGGCAAAUCACCUGAGGUCAAGAGUUCGAGACCAGCGGGGCCAACAUGGUGAAACCCCGCCUCCACUAAAAACAUAGAAAUUAGCCAGGCAUGGUGGUGCGUGCCUGUUAUCACAGCUACUCUGGAGGCUGAGGCAGGAGAAUUGCUGGAACCCAGGAGGCAGAGGCUGCAGUGAGCUGAGAUCAUGCCACUGCACUCUAGCCUAGGCAACAGAGUGAGACUCCAUCUCAAAAAAAAGAAAAGAGAUAGAAACUUGUGUGCGGGGUUUCACCAUGUUGGCCAGGCUGGUCUAGAACUCCUGAUCUCAAGAGAUCCACCCACCUCGGCCUCCCAAAGUGCUGGGAUUACCUGCAUGAGCCACUGCACCUGGCUUCAGCCCUUUGUUUUAUCCAAGAGAAGGUCAAGAGCAGAUAAAUUGGAUCUGUGCCCGCAGAGAGAGCCUGCUCCAGCCUCUUUGCUACAGCCUUGAGUCUUCUGCUGUGAUAGGAUGCUAGAGAGGAAAAUUUGGAAUUAGCUUUUAAAAGGAAGAGAAAUGACGGUGUAACCAUCUGCCAAAUACAUGGAAACAACAACAACAAAAACCUCAUCAUUCACCUGGCCUGGCAAAUAGCCUGCAGAUCUGGUUUCUUUUGAAAACAAACCCUAAGUCUGGAACUUUCCAUGCUGAGAGUCCACGUCAGUUUCAAGAAGGCCUGGUAAGAUGUAGCUGAGUAAAAACGAGACUCAAUAUGAAUGAUUACUGCUGUUCUUUCUCACUGGGAAGCCUGGGGACGUCAAGGAUAAAAUGACCUUUUGUACAGUGGUGAUAUUUCUCCAUGUCUCAGCCUUUUUAUCAGCAUAACUAUGGCCAAACCCAGUGCUUUUGUGGAAAACAUUGGUAGCACCGUCAUCUCAGAAGUCUUUAUGUAACUUCCCAUAGUCAUGUCAGAGGAGAUGGGGAUACAAAUCAUCAAACGCUUCUCUUUGGAUUGUGCAAGUCAGCAAAUCAGCUCUGGCGAUUUCCAAAGAGCUAAGACUACCAUCCCUGGGUAUGGUCCCUGAGUCUUCUUUCCCCAUCCUCUACAGCCCCCACUCAAAGAAAGUGCCUCAAACAGAUGGAAUGACGCAGAGGUAGAAUUGCAAACUUCAGAAAUGCAUGCUUAAGAGGGCAGGUGAGCCGGGUGUGGAGGCUUACAUCUGUCUUCCCAGCACUUUGGGAGGCAGAGGAGAGUGGAUUGCUUAAGCCCAGAAGUUCCAGACCAGCCUGGGCAACAUGGCAAAACUCCAUCUUAAUGAAACAUGCAAAAAUUAGCUGGGUGUGGUGGUGCACGCCUAUAGACCCAGCUACUCAGGGAGGAUCACCUGUACCUUGGAGGUCAAGGCUGCAGUGAGCCAUGAUGGCACCACUGCACUCCAGCCUGGGCAGCUGAGCGAGACCCAAUUUCAAGAAAAAAAAAAAAGGCAUGUGAUUAUUUUCUUCCAACAUCCAUCUGUCCCCCAAGUGUUGUAGGUCCUUCUGCACAAAAGUUCCAUACCCUCCCUUCUCCUUUGGUUUUCUAAUUUAAGUGUGAUGAGUAGCAGCCAGCCAAGUGAAAGAAAGGCCUAGGGAUUUCAAAGGAAAGAUACAAGGCUGGCGGCAAAAAGGAAGGGCUUUCUCCUCACUGGGCCCUCUUCAGUGGCUUGAACUGUGAGACUCCUGGAGGUAUCAGCGCUUGGUUCAACCCUAAAAGAAGUUGCAUCAGACAUGGCAACUUUGGCCUGCUUUGCUUGUAUUCUCUGUGGCGAAUGGAGUAUUAAUAAGUGGCUCUCUGGGGAAGUUUGCGCAGCUCAUACUAGAAAACAAAUAGAUACGUAAAGUUCUUGAAUGAUGUAGAUGUGAUGCCAUAUCUGCUCUCCUUCCCAUAAUUUCAGAGAAAAAUCAAGGACGAUGUGUGGUGAACAUAAUUCCUCAUUUUUCCUUUAUCCAUGAAAUAUUUGCUUUAAAGCAGCAGCUAAAACCACAGGUUUUAGUGAGCAGAUUAUUACCUUUCUGAGAGACACAGAGAUUAAGAGAAUGGUCAGUUGCUUGCCACUGAGUAGGGAAAAGGGAGAAAAAUUAUGAUUCAAGGCAUUUUCUCUGCUUCCAGUUAGCUGCUGGGGGGGACUGGAUUAUGCUUCUCCAAUAUCUGAAGGGUUGUUGAGCUGAAGGCAGUAAGAAGCAAAUGCAGGAAAGCUCUCAUCUUCCCCUCUGGUUACCUAAAAGCAGGACAUAGAUUUACAAAGACAAAAGGUACCCUGGCCACCCCUCCUCCCGGAGAGAACAAAGGUUAACCACUGAAGGCAACUUUGUACUCUUAUUGGCCUGGAGAUGGAACCAGAGGAAUCUACAUUAACAAGCUUUACAAAUGAGCCUUUGACUGAUAGUUAUUUGCCCCCCUCCAAGUUACCACCCAUAAAGAUUCAAAAUCCUUUGCUUUUGUCUUGCCACUUUUUUACAAAUUUCAUAGCCAGCACGAUGGCUCAUGUGUGUAAUCCCAACAGUUUGGGAGGCUGAGGUGAGAGUAUGGCUUCAAAUCAGGAGUUUGAGACUAUCCUGGGCAACAUAGCAAGACCCUGUCUCAAAAAAAAAAAAAAAUUAGGCAGGCAUCGUGGUUCACACCUGUAGUCCCAAUUACUCAGGAGGCUGAGGUGGAGGGAUUGCCUGAGCCCAGGGUUCAAGACUGGCCUGUGCAAUAUAGCAAGACCCCAUCCCUAAAAAAUAAAAAACACCUAUCAGGGUGGGUGCAUGCCAGUAGCCUCAGCUACUCAGGAGGCUGAAGAGAGAGGAUCACUUGAGUCCAGCAGGUUGGGACAGCAGUGAGCUAUGAUUGUGUCUCUGUACUUCAGCCUGAGUGACAGAGCAAGACCCUGUCUCAAAAAAGAAAAAAAAAAGUUUACUAUUUGUUGUUGAAAAUGCUAUAUAAGCUGGAAUUCAAAGCCACCUCUUUGAGAAUUACUCAUUUUCUGGGUAUAUAUGAAAUAUACAUGGUAAUAUGUGACAUAUACAUGGUAAUAAACUUCUGUUUGUUUUUCUCUUGUUUUCUCUUGUCUUUUGUAACAGGGGUCCUUUCCAACCAAGAACCUAUGGGGUCUAGUCUUCCCCUACACUGCCUUUCACUCACCACUGGGCUGCCUGCUUUAAGCUAGGAAUCAAGAGACAGUGGCCUUCCACAGGUGCCUCGACAGGUGCCUCAGCUUCCAAACAGACACAGGAAGGACCCCAGCAUGGUAGCAUUCAUCUCAUUCACCUUUAUUGGGUUAAAAGUGUGUGAGACACAAAACUGAAACUUGAAAGUUAAGAAACUUGAAAGUUAAGUAACAGCUUUUCUCUGUCUUCGUAUUUUUCUCCCAAAUACAUGCAAUCUCUAGAGAACUUCAAGAAAACUUCCUCUCUAAGCAGCAGAGAAUAGCUUGCAGAAGAGGGAAAAAUUCAAGAUCUAUUGUAUUUUAUUGAUUUAUACCUGGUUUUGUUCCAAAAUUGUUGUUAGCUGCAUGCAUAAUUAACUCUACCACUGACUGCCGUGUAACUUACUCCAAGUUCUCUUUAUUGUAGUUUCAUGCACGGCCUUGGCAUAUCCAAAGAUUAAUGAAGAUGGAUCCAAAUCCUUACUACUAAGCAAAAAGCCUCCAAGCAAAUAACAAUGGACUGAAGAGUUACCUUUGUAGGCAUAAACGUAUCAUUACAAUUAAAGAGAUGUCAAAUGAGCCAGUUGUGUGCUAGAUAAUGCUGAGGCUCAGGACACACUACCACAAAACAUGGUACCUUUCCAUUUGAGAAAACAGCAGAAGCAGGAAAGUCACUCUCACCUUCCCCACUGCCCUUCUCCCCUGAAGCAGGUCCUAAAACCUGUGACGGAUUCUCUGACCUUCACCUAAGCAGGUCAUAAGACCCUCGUUAUUUGAGAGGUGCCCUCCUUGUACCUGGAGGAAGGGAAUGUCCCUAUCUCUGAAGACGGGCACAGGAAGAAUCUGAACAAACAGGCCUUCCUAACUUCCCCACAGUUAUUACCAUGAGGUCAGACCCCCUUUGUUCAAUCACACUUCUCCAUAACUGUCCAUUUCUUCCUCAAACCUAGCAUCAUAAAUACCAGGUUUCCUUGCUUCUUUGGAUCUUCCUUUCCUUAUGAAGGCUCCCAUGUCAUGUAAAACCUAUACAUACAUUUGUUUGCUUUUCUUUUGUUCAUCUGUCUUUUGGUACAGGGGCCUCAGUCAUGAACCCAGUGAAGGGUGACAAAAGAAAUAUUUUUUCCCCUAGAAUGCAAUAGCCCACUAGUGCUCUCAAAGAUGCUGGACUUCUCUGUGAUGUUAUUUAUCCAGGAACAUUGGAGAACUAAAGGUGAUAAGAAGAAAAGAGGCAUGGAAAGCCAAUAACACAGCCAGUACCUUUGGCCAAUUGAAGCUGGCCAACUUCAAGCUAUCACUGGGCCUUAAUAAUUGUACAAAGGGAUGGGCAGUUCUGGGGCUGCACCCACAUAUCUGUGAGCUCUGCUCGGCGGUGUUUUGAGGAUAACCCUUAUCCCAGAUUUUUCAAAGUAUUGUGGUCUUGAUGGCCAGUUUCUUACGUACUCCAGAUGACUACUGCCAUGCAUGAUUGCAAAGGCUGUGCAAAUAUCAAGGACGGUUAAGGUGCUGGCGCUUUUUGUGACUCAACCUCCUUUUUCUUCAAAUCUUUAUUUUAUUUUCCUUUCAUAAUGUAACCAAUCUUUCUCACAAAAAAUUGCUUUGGGUUGCAGUGGAGAAGAAUUUUAGGAUUUUCCCGACCUGUCUUAUAUUGCUCUUUAACAACUUGUGCCUAAACUAUGGAUUUUUUUUUUUUUUUUUGUCUUUUAAAGGUAUGGAGUGAAGAAUCAGUAGUUGGUCAAGGGGAAGUGUCACUGGAAAACCAAGAUCCCCAAAGGCUUAGUUUUUUCUUUUUUUCCUGCUAACAUCUCUAAAAAGAAUUUUCCUGCAGAGCAACAGUAACAUAAAUUGACAGACAGCUGAUGUGUGUUCUUAGCAGUUUCAUUCAUUGGACAGCCUUGGUGAUUAUUAUAUUUCUCUCUCUACGACACUUGACUCAUUUACCAGCCUCAUUCCUGGUGACGCGUGUGCUGAAACACGCAGCCAAGUGUUAGUACCAGGUGGGGUGAUAGGCCAGCUCCCUGCCAGUUGCAUUUAUUUAGAGUGAAGAGGACAACAUUGAAGUGGCAUGAACAAGGCCCAGGGAAGGCUCCCAGGAAGGAGCCAGUCGACAGAUGGCAAAAGAGACUCAGGGUAUCUUUUUGCACAGGGGUCUCCAAAUAGCCAGAGGAUCUGUGCUCAGGGCAUUAUAAACACAUCACCUUAUGUUACCUUCAUCUGUGUCUACCCAGCGGUAACUCUGAUUUUUUUUUAAAUUGUGUUUGCAGGUUAGCUGCUUCAUUUGGAAAAAACUAGGAAGAGCACCGUCACCUCAGCUUCAGCUCUCCUCUUGUUUUUUCUUGGUUCUCUCUGUUCUUGCCCACCAGCCCCAUGUGUCAGGUUUGAAUCUAGGCUGGUGAAUACAUUUUGCAGGAGAUGAUAUGUAACUAGGGUACCGCUUCUCUUUCAUCAUUAUUCACUUUUUAUUUCAUCAUUCUUCACUUUUUCCUUGGUCUGCUUUCAUCUAACUAGGGGUGCCUCGGCUGACAAGGUGGACUUCUCAAGUGAGAGGUUGUAUUUUCUCUCUUCUUUUAUUAGACAUGUGGAAGUUUGGGCUCAUAGGACUAAUUAGACUAUUGAGGAAGUGAUGGGUAAAAGUCUCACACACCUUUCUUUCUUCCUUGAUAGUGUAGGGGAAGAAAAAUCAUUUUUUUCUCCAAUCUUCAUAACUUCUUAGUUGGAAUGGACCCCUGUUACAAAAGACAGAUUAACAAUUGAAAAACAGUUUAUUAACGUGUAUUUCACAUACCCAGAAAAUGAGCCUCUCAAAUAGGUGGCUUUGGAUUCCAGCUUGUAUAGCAAGUUUAACAAUGAACAGUAAAAUUUUAAAAACAAGACAAAGGAAAAGAACUUUGAGUCUCUAGAGGCUGGUGGCAACUUGGAGGAGGGCAAAUAACUGUCAGAUAAAGGCUCACUAGUAAAGCUUGUUAAUGUAGAUUCCUCUCCAGGCCAAUAAGGGCCCAAAGUUGUCUUCUCCCUGGUAGGCAGUAUAUCUUUUGCAUUUUGGUAAAUACAGAGAGAGCAGAGAAAUUUCCUGUAUCAGCUUUUAAAUUGCCUUCAGCACAACAAUGCUUCAUAGUCUGGGGUGGCAUAUUUUGAUCUCCCACAAUAUGUAUCUUGAGGUUAUUUCUGGAGACAGAGGAGGCAGGCCUGUUGUGUUUUAAAGAGUGAUAUUUAUACAUGUGUAACAAAGAACAUAUUUUGCUGACUAUUUUUCACUCUAUGAACAGGUGGUCUUGCUGUGGGGCACUUCCUUGAAUCUUAAAUCGUUGAUUACACAUGAAAAUGUCUGCAUUGCAGACAGAGAGACAGCACUUAUGAAGAUGGGGUGGCAUUGAGAGGACUGGGAUGUUCUGGGAUACAAGAGUGAUCAGAGUACCUGGAGCUUGGGAGAGGAGAGGGGAGAGGAGAGGAGAGAGAAGGCUCAGAAGUGCUUUUGAGCCAGAUCAGGAAGGGCUCAAAGCCUUGCAAAGCAGUUUGGGCUUUUUCUUGAAGGUGAAAGGAAAACCUCUGAAAGAUUUUAUGCAAGGACUGGCCAGACCAUUUUCACAUUUACAAAAUAUAAUGAUGGCAGAAUGGAGCAGCAGUAUGGAGAACAGCUGAGGGGCACAGGUGAUGGACAAGAUGUUUGAUAAAGAGGUGAUUGAAGUAACCCAUCGGAAAAAUAAUGAUGGCCUGAACCAAGUACGUUAGGAGAUGAACUUGAAAGUUAUUAAGAAAGUAGAAUGGGUGCCCCUGAUUUCUAUCUUGCCUUUCUGAUAGCCACUAGAAUGGCAUUUGGUGGCUCCUUUCUCUUUGUGGAUAGACAUGUGUUAUUGGGGGGAAUAAAGGGCCCAGUCAAAAACCUAAGUCUUCCAGACACCGUUGCAAGGGGGCUAAUGAGAUAUGGCCUAAAUGACAGGCUGGGCUUCCGGAAAACUUUUAAUGGGGGCUUACUCAGCUGGAGGUGCCUUAAUUGCAUCUUCCCUCUUUCUCUUUCUUUCUGCCUGGAACUUGGGAAUAGCCAUCUUGAAUGUAGGGAGUGAGUUGAAGGAUUUGAGGAGGGACUCGUUUAUGGCUUGGCUGAAAGGGUAGAUGAUAGUUGCAAGACACGGAACGUAAGGGAGAUUUAGGGGCCAGGAUGGUGCAUUUUGUUUUGUACAUGUUAAGUCUGAGGAAUCUCUACGAUGGCCAGUCUGUGUCCAGGAAACAACGGGAUGUGGACCUGGGCGAGAGAAAUACACCUGGAAACCAUCACUUGCCAGAGAACAGUUGACACGAUGGAAGUGUAUGAGGUCCCUGGGGAGGGUGUCUGAGAAAAGGGCCAAGGGCAGAGCCUGGGGAGCCCAGCACUGGGGCAUGAUGCAGCCCUGAGCAGGACAGGGGAGAAGCAUCCAAGGAGCUGGGGAGACGCCCUGGAGAGGGCAGUGUCCUGGACAUCAAGGACAUUCAGAGGACACAGUGGUCUCUAAUGCCACAGUAAGAAAGGACUUAGGGGACAGUGGGGUCAGGAAGGAAAAUGGCCAGAGGACUGCUGCUUUCUACAAAAAAGACUCUCAGAACCAUCUACACACAGAAGGUGGCCACAGGCGCAAUUUGUGUCAUGAUGCCACCACACUUGUGAUUCUCUGGAGUCUUGUAAUACCCUGUUAUUGGUUCCUUUUUUAAUACAAUUCUCUCUCCCAUCAACUUAUCUAUCUCUCCAACUGUGUCAAUGAUAUAUUUCACUUAAGAUCAAAAUGAAUGCACAUGCAUUAAAUGUUCAUUUUAAGUUCUUUCUUUUUCUUUUUUGAGACGAAGCUUUGCUCUUGUUGCCCAGGCUGGAGUGCAGUGGCGUGAUCUCGAAUCACUGCAAUCUCCACCUCCCGGGUUCAAGCGAUUCUCCUGCCUCAGCCUCCUGAGUAGCUGGGAUUACAGGCAUGCGCCACCAUGCCCGGCUAAUUUUGUAUUUUUAGUAGAGAUGGGGUUUCUCCAUGUUGAUCAGGCUAGUCUCAAACUACUGACCUCAGGUGGUCUGCCCACCUCAGCCUCCCAAAGUGCUGGGUUUACAGGCGUGAGCCCCCUUGCCCAGCCAAGUUAUUUCUUGAUAAAGAGUUUUGGGGGAUCCCUUGUAGCACACCGAUGUGAAACCCAUCGAGACUGGAUUCUGUGUUCUGUUCAUUAAAUACGUCACUGUGAAGGACUCUGAUAGAAGAGAAAAAAGGCUUUUAAAGAAGGUUAAAAAAAAAAGACAAGGCAGUGGGCAAGAAUGCUUUGGUUUUCCUUGUGUGCUGUGGCAGUGGUACCAACAGAAUUUCCUUCCCCCAUGGUGGGACCUAUGAGCUCAGGGCCUCUGCCCUUUGCCACAUGCUGAACUGAGGUAUCAUGAGCUGGAUCUGUCUUCUGUCUCUAAAGUCAAAGUAGGAUGAUGCUUUCUUAACUUCUAAUUUAUUUUCUUAAACUGAGAAGUGAGGAGUAUGUCUUCUGGGGAAUGUCCUCAGAUUGCAUCAGCCAGGAGCCGUGAGGACCAGCUCUCUCCCUGGUCCAGGUCUCUCAAGGAUGCUCAGAGAACCUGUUCUGGCUCUGGGCAGCUUCCUGCUUAGAGUGAUGAAAAUAAUUGUUUUCUCAUCUAAAUGACUGUUGAGCGAUGAACUCAUUGCUUUUAGGUCUCUAAUAGGGCACUCCCCGGGGAACAGGUGAUAGUCCUCAUCUGAAACAAUUUAAUUGGGAAGAGAUUUCACUUGGUAUCUCCAAGAAGGACCCCAGGCCCUGCUUCCAUAAGCAGUGCCUUGCCACAUAGGAGCUGUGGCUGCUUCUUGACCCAUUAGCUAGGUCAAGAGUGUUAAGAACACUCUGAACAUUUACUGGGAACUCACUGGAUGUAAAGUUUCUCUUUAAGAUGUCACAUGGUGACAGAUUCAAGAUAUGAUGCCUGCUCUCGAGUGGCUUAAACUCUCCAUUUGGGUGAAGGUUAGAGAGGAAGAGGGAAAAACACUCUUGUUUGAAUGCAUCAAUUUUAGGCUAAAUAUCUAGAAGCAUAUGCAUUAUAAACACAUGAUCCAUCACAGGUAUAAACAUGAAACUCCACUUAUCUGGUGUUCACUUAUUCAAUCAGCUCAGCUAUCCAGAAAAAAGCUGAGAUCUCAGAGCAGACACAGUUUAUUAAAAAAAAAAAAAAUUAGGAUUCUACAGUUCAAAAACUUUGCUUGCAUUGUUCUGAAUUCAUUUCCUCUUAUUUUGGAUAUAUUCUAGAAAGCUUUUCCAGAACAUACCAGAUUAACGUUGUGGAGGUGAGCUGGCCCAGGCAAUGGCAAUAGACUGCCUAGAAGGAGCUGGCCCAGGCAAUGGCAAUAGACUGCCUACAAGGAGAAGUAAUUUCUGAGGACCUCACAUUAAAGCAAUGGUUCCCACACUUUUCAGACAUGCUUUAGCAUCCUCCGGAUAUCUUUCAUUAAUUUUUAAACUCAGGCC